rnacentral:rRNA from 1 species
UACGUAGGGGGCAAGCGUUGUCCGGAAUCAUUGGGCGUAAGGAGCGUGUAGGCGGCCCGGUAAGUCCGCUGUGAAAGUCCAGGGCUCAACCCUGGGAUGCCGGUGGAUACUGUCGGGCUCGAGUCCGGAAGAGGAGUGUGGAAUUCCUGGUGUAGCGGUGAAAUGCGCAGAUAUCAGGAGGAACACCAAUGGCGAAGGCAGCACUCUGGGACGUGACUGACGCUGAGACGCGAAAGCGUGGGGAGCAAACAGG